CCGGGUGAUUUAAAACGUCCCGGGGCCCCCACUCACCACUAGCAGCACAGAGGAGCUGAGUGACUUCCUGCCUGCUCGCUCCACAUGGCUGCCGGCCCCUCCCUGUGGCCCUUGGGUGGGGUGGGUCUGUGUCUGUGUCUCUGUCU